rnacentral:piRNA from 1 species
UGAAUGCGUGGGAAGACGAUCGUAGGCC